CGCCGGCCCGGCAAAGCUCCCCUCGGCUCCGCACGCCUCGCUCCGGCGCGGCUCCGGCAGUCCCGCGCCAGCCCCGCCGCGCCCAAGUCCCCUUCCACCUCGGCAGCUCCCCAGGCAACGCCAGCAGCUCCCGCGCCACAGCCUUGGCUGCCGGGCCAGGGGCACAAGAAGCGCCCUCCAAUGCAGCGGCACAGCCCGAUUCCAACCCUUCAAACGCUGCGAGAGCUGCAGCUUCCUUCAAUUCAACCCCCGGAACUUACUCCACACUCAGAACACAGGGAUUCGCUGCCACCCCGGGAUACCCCUAACACCCUGGAAAAGGCAUGUUUUCCUUCAAUCAAGACCCUCAAAACCACGAGUGCACGGGAAUCCCACCCAGUUCAAACACAGGCAAUAAUGGAAGAGAAGUUGCUUCCCUCAUUUUGAAUUUCUUUUGUCUUAAUAAACCCUAGUUUGUUUGGG